UACGAAGGGGAGGUUCACGCCAUCAUGGGAAAGAAUGGUUCUGGAAAGAGCACAUUUGCAAAGGUACUUGUUGGGCACCCAGAUUAUGAGGUUACAGGCGGUAGUAUUCUGUUUAAAGGAAGUGAUUUGCUUGAAAUGGAACCAGAAGAAAGGUCGCUUGCAGGGCUAUUUAUGAGUUUUCAGUCCCCGGUUGAGAUUCCAGGUGUUAGCAACAUUGACUUUCUAAAUAUGGCUUACAAUGCACGGAGAAGGAAACUUGGUCUGGCAGAGCUGGGGCCAAUUGAGUUUUAUGCAUACAUCUUCCCCAAACUUGAUCUUGUGAACAUGAAGACAGAUUUUCUCAAUCGAAAUGUGAAUGAAGGGUUUAGUGGUGGAGAAAGAAAGCGUAAUGAGAUCUUACAACUUGCGGUUUUGGGUGCAGAGAUGGCUAUAUUAGACGAAAUAGAUUCUGGGUUGGAUGUUGAUGCACUUCGUGAUGUAGCAAAAGCAGUGAACGGGCUUUUG
rnacentral:misc_RNA from 1 species